GCCACCACCUCGCCCAGCUUCCCUGUCCCCCGUCUCGGUCUUCCCCCGCCGCCAUUGCCCUCGCCUUUUUCAGGGCGGCCGCUUCUGGUUGCCUCGGCCUCCUCUCGCCGUGCCGCCGCCUCGGCCACUUUCCCCCGCCGCCACACACCGGCUAAUGGCCGCCCGUGGCUGUGGGACACUGGUGUCUGAGGUCCUUCGCGCAGGCCCAGGCCCAGGUGUCUGAGGUCGCUUCGCGCAGGCCCAGAACAGCCCAGGGAGGCAGGGACGCAGAUCCCCAACGUUCCAAAGCCAUGGCCACUCACUUAGCCUUUUAUUAUAUAGGAUGUGUUUUGUCUCAUUCACAUAUUCUGUAUUGUAAAGCGUCAUACUACAAGGAGAGGAGAGCUGGUCUUGUGGUAGCAAACAUGAAUUGUCCCCUUUGCUAAGCAAGAUCCACCCUGGUUUGAAUUUGCAUGGGAGACUACAUGUGUGAGCACUGUAAGAUAUUCCCCUCAGGGUAUGGGGCCGCUCUGGGAAAAGCAUCUGUAUGUUUGCAUGCAGAAGGUUCCAAGAUCCCUCCCUGGCUUCUCCAUGAUAGGGCUGAGAGGGACUUCUGCCUGCAACCUGGAGAAGCUGCUGUCAGUCUGGGUAGACAUGCAUCUUUUUAGGUGUACAGCUCAAAAACAAAAUGUAAAUGAAUGAAGCAGCCCUCCAAAGCCACCCUUGAAAACUGUCUUGUGUCAACUGCACAUUGCACCUGAUUAUUUUAGUGCAUAAAACUUGCGAUAAUUUGUGUGGAGGGGAAUUGUAUACUUGAAGGAGAAUUUGGGGCUCAGGGUGGGCAUGUUGAAGAAAUUUUAAUGAAGAGAAGAUAAUGGAUAAAACAUGAUGGAACACAACCAAGUGCAAGCGAAGCCUGUGUUCUGCCUUCCAGGGAGUUAUCCAGACAUGACUUCAUGCUUUGGGGUAUCCAAAGAGCAAAUCUGCUUCGGAGUAGAUUUGCAGCUGUUUUGUUCAGGUGAUUAAAUGGGCCAUUCACAUAGGGUCGGUUCUUGUCAGCAUUCCCUGCGGAUCCUUUUUCCUGUGUGCGUUCUCACAGCUUGCUCCGGGUUUUUUCUCCAACCAGCCACAUCCCAGAGGAGGAGGACAUGGGAGGGAACUCAUGAAGCCUUCAGAUACCCACCAAUGACAAGUUGGAUGUCAACCUCCAGUUGGACAGUUCUGUGGCGAGAAACUAUGGCCUCUUUCCCUGCUUAAAGACAGACCUGCACAAGGUGGAGAUCUAUGUUACAACGAUAAAAUGCCGGCAUUUGGGAAAAUGAUUGCAACAUCUCUGUCUUCUGAGUGCAGGAAAAUUCUGCUGAUGUCUCCUCUGUGACCUCCUGUGCAUGAGAAAAAUCUGAGCCAAGCUGAAACCAAAAUUUUCUGCCCCUCCACAGUAUAUUCCUUUGUGCUUCUUAAGAUAAAAGCAGUUUCACCUCCGAAGUAUAACCAUGCUUUGCUUUAA